rnacentral:lncRNA from 1 species
GUUUGAACAGUUUCUGCUAUUUUUCUGCUAUUUUCCUGCCUCUUCAAGCUCUGCGGAAAGGAGUGGUGUUGAGAGAAAACCUGCAGCGGCCUUGCAGAUAAGCCACAUGCCUGAUGUCAACGUGAUCUCACCAGAGAACAAUGGAAAUGAAAAUGCCAGAAUCAAGAAACAAGGAUUUGCUUUGGCUUUCAUCUGAAACACACUUAGUAGAAUUCCUUCUUCCCCCUUGCUUUCAUAAACCUGUUGCUGGUGGGGGUAAACAGUAAAUUUUUUAGAUCCCAGGUAGAUUCAGCAUAAUGGGCAGCCUCUGUCUGUGAUGUCACUUGACUUCUUGUAACUAAUUCCUGGGGGU